rnacentral:rRNA from 1 species
AGUGAACGCUGGCGGCAGGCCUAACACAUGCAAGUCGAGCGGCAGCGCGUCCGACCACCCUCGGGUGGUCGGAUGGCGGCGAGCGGCGGACGGGUGAGGAAUGCAUCGGAAUCUGCCUCGUUGUGGGGGAUAACGUAGGGAAACUUACGCUAAUACCGCAUACGACCUACGGGUGAAAGUGGGGGACCCUCGGGCCUCACGCGAUGAGAUGAGCCGAUGCCGGAUUAGCUAGUUGGUGAGGUAAAGGCCCACCAAGGCGACGAUCGAUAGCUGGUCUGAGAGGAUGAUCAGCCACACUGGAACUGAGACACGGUCCAGACUCCUACGGGAGGCAGCAGUGGGGAAUAUUGGACAAUGGGCGAAAGCCUGAUCCAGCCAUGCCGCGUGUGUGAAGAAGGCCCUUGGGUUGUAAAGCACUUUAAGCGGGGAGGAAGGUUCGCUGGCUAAUAUCCAGCGGAAUUGACGUUACCUGCAGAAUAAGCA